CGAGUGCUGAAGGUCGCAAAGUGUGAAAAUCUUCUGUCCUCGUUUGCAACACUCACUACCGAGUUCCAAACUGCCUCUGGAAGCAACGACAGAACAUGGACACAAUGCAAUUGUGAUCAAGGAGAAGAAAUUCCGAAGUAUCUGGAUGGUCAGUGGAGGAUGUCUGCCAGUGGCUUCAGCAAAAUCAGUUGGCGGACUACACCUCUCCUUUCCAAAGUUUUAAAUUUAAAUACAUCAAUUGCAUGCAAGGUCCAACCAAAACUUGACUUCCGCUUUUAACCCAACUACCGUGUAGCUCUUGUUGUGGGGGUGUUUUAACUGCCUUGCUCAAGGACAGAACAACAGAUUUUUCACCUUGUAGGCUGGACGACUCAAAUGCUUUAAAUCCUAGGCUACCCGCCGGUCAACACCAGUCAAAAUGCCUGCUUUGUAUAACUGCCUAAUAUGAAACAAGCAUUUUUUUUGUUGCUCAUAAAACAGAUUUGCCACAUUGGUCUGUAUCACCAGAGUGAGCCAGGGUUCCUGUUAACAUGUGAACUUGGAGGUUGCAUGGAAACAUGUAAAUGCUUUGCGUCAUAUAGGACACAUAUAUACAGAAAACACAAUCAUUUGCUGACAGAUAGGCCUAAUGGUUCUGUAAUCCCUGUGCCUGACUACAUUAAGGAAAAUGUGAACGACUAUGACUCUGAUCUCGAGUGGGCGCCUGCAACUAAUGUUAUUGUGUCCAUGAACUUCAAAACUGAAGACUUGGUUAGAUGCCUUAAGAGAAACCUCUGCCUUUUUAUGUUGAAGAUCAGAGAGAAACAUUGUGUUCCUGGGACUGUGCAGAGCAGUAUAGUGGAGGAUCUUCAUACUAUAUUUGAUUAAUGAAUGUCCCACUACAGCGAUUACUUUGAAAUUCCAUCUUCGAAACAUUCACAUCAAUAUAGAUGAGGACAAUAACUUGUGUGAGCUUUUAAACCAGAUAAAGGUUUUUGAAAAGUGCAUGAGAAGCAUCAACACAGAGUGAAUACUGGAGCAAUACUGCUGUAAAGAAAUGGGAAUGGUUAGACUGAGUGAGAUACAUCUGAGUGGUGAAGAACAGGACAGAGGCAGUUUUCAGUACAUCCCACUACCUGAUCAUUUGAAGAAGGUGGCACAAAAUGAAGAUGUUUGGGCGAGCUUAAAUAGAGAAGAAGAACAUGCCACUGAUAAAAUCUUGAGUGAUUUCACAGAUGAGGGAUUUUAAGAGCAAUCCCUUGCUCACGCAAAAACAAACGAUGUGGCUUAAUUUUUAUAGAGAUGAAUUUGAGGUUGUUAAUCCACUUGGAUCAAUAAAAGGAAAACAAUA